UGCACUCAUACUGAUUUGAAUGUAUAAAUAUUUUCAUGUAACCUUAACUUAGACUUCGACGGUUGUUAAUGUCGUCUCCUUUCUCUUCUCUUCCAUCUCCCACCGGCCACCAACCCUUUUAUUCCUCCAUGAUAAUCCCAAGAUCUGGAGACUUCUUGUUUUAUCGCAUAAAGUACUAGUAGAAUUAAAAAGAUCCUUAUUUGGGUCGUUGAUUGAUUUAUGAGAUUUCUUUCUAAUCAAUGAGGCAAAAUAGUUUUAGCUAAUCUCCAGUCACCAGAGUUAUGAGUGUUAGUAGGCGCAAUAU
rnacentral:lncRNA from 1 species